UUAGAGUUUGAUCCUGGCUCAGGACGAACGCUGGCGGCAUGCCUAACACAUGCAAGUCGAACGGGGGUAUGACUUCGGUUGUACCCUAGUGGCGAACGGGUGAGUAACACGUGAGCAACCUGCCCUGUACAACGGGAUAACACUAAGAAAUUAGUGCUAAUACGGUAUAUGACCACACCGAGGCAUCUCGGAGGGGUAAAAGCGAAUUAGCGGUACAGGAUGGGCUCGCGUCCAAUUAGCUAGUUGGUGGGAUAACAGCCCACCAAGGCGACGAUUGGUAGCCGACUUGAGAGAGUGAUCGGCCACACUGGAACUGAGAUACGGUCCAGACUCCUACGGGAGGCAGCAGUGGGGAAUAUUGGGCAAUGGAGGAAACUCUUACCCAGCAAUGCCGCGUGAGUGAAGAAGGUCUUCGGAUUGUAAAGCUCUUUGAUUGGGGACGAAUAUUUGACGGUACCGGGAGAGGAAGUCACGGCUAACUACGUGCCAGCAGCCGCGGUAACACGUAGGUGGCGAGCGUUAUUCGGAUUUACUGGGCGUAAAGGGUCCGCAGGGGGCCUGCCAAGUCUGUCGUGAAAUUCCGGGGCUCAACCCCGGGACUGCGCUGGAAACUGGUGGGCUUGAGUAUGUGAUGGGUAGACGGAACACCUGGUGUAGCGGUGGAAUGCGUAGAUAUCAGGUGGAACACCGAUGGCGAAGCCGGUCUGCUGGCACAUUACUGACCCUCAUGGACGAAAGCGUGGGUAGCAAACAGGAUUAGAUACCCUGGUAGUCCACGCCGUAAACUUUGAGAACUAGAUAUGGUGAGGCUGGCCCUCUCCGUGUCCGAGCUAACGCGUUAAGUUCUCCGCCUGGGGACUACGGCCGCAAGGCUAAAACUCAAAGGAAUUGACGGGGGCCCGCACAAGCGGUGGAGCAUGUUGCUUAAUUCGAGGCAACGCGAAGAACCUUACCCGGGUUUGACAUGUUUAGGCCCGGCUGUGAAAGCAGCCUUUCCUUCGGGACCUUUACACAGAUGCUGCAUGGCUGUCGUCAGCUCGUGCCGUGAGGUGUUCGGUUAAGUCCGGCAACGAGCGCAACCCGUACUGUCAGUUACCAUCAGGUGAUGCUGGGGACUCUGGCAGGACUGCCCGCGUCAAGCGGGAGGAAGGCGCGGAUGACGUCAAGUCCGUAUGGCUCUUACACCCGGGGCUGCAAACGUGCUACAAUGGUCGGUACAAUGGGAUGCGCCCCUGCGAAGGUUAGCCAAUCUUUAAAACCGGCCCCAGUUCGGAUCGCAGUCUGCAACUCGACUGCGUGAAGUCGGAAUCGCUAGUAAAGGGAUAUCAGCAACGGUCCCUUGAAUACGUUCCCGGGCCUUGCACACACCGCCCGUCA
rnacentral:rRNA from 1 species